GCCCCCUUAGCUCAACUGGCAGAGCAACUGACUCUUAAUCAGUAGGUUGAAGGUUCGAGUCCUUCAGGGGGCA
rnacentral:tRNA from 1 species